AAAUAAAUGAGAUUAUCCUGCCAUGUUUUGUUUUGCGGAAUCAGAUUCUGAAAUAAGCAAAGCCAGUGAGAUACUUUAAGGUCUGUAAGAGAGAGGCCUGCUAUUCCCAUCGUGAAUUCUACCCUCUGAAUUAGGUCUUUGUGCUAUUAGGAGCUUUUUCUUCUGUUUAUUUUGCUACAGGAUCAUGCCUUCCCUGGAACCAAGCAGCAUGUAAAACCUGUGAUUUUUGGGGGCCCUUGAGUGAUGAAGCUGGUGAUGGAAAGGCCACUUCUUGCAGCACUGACUAUAAACAGAAGUUCUGUAAGUUAGAGAGACGGUGACAUUCUGUUCUACUUUGGUGAUGCUCAAGUUGAGAGUUUAUAUGAGAGUUAUCCCCUGGAGAAGAGGCAUGGAAGCAAACAGAGUCCUGCAUUUUCCUGGAUGGGCAGUGGAGCAUUCAGUGACCUGCCAGUCAGAGUGGCAAAGGAACUUGUAGUUUUGGAGGAAAGACAACUGAGUAUCACGACAACAUGCCUCUCAUUGGCAUUUAGGUCUCAUCCUUACGAUCAAUUUACACCUAUGACAAAGAGCAGGAAAUAA
rnacentral:lncRNA from 1 species